rnacentral:rRNA from 1 species
CCUACGGGAGGCAGCAGUGGGGAAUUUUGGACAAUGGGCGCAAGCCUGAUCCAGCAAUGCCGCGUGAGUGAAGAAGGCCUUCGGGUUGUAAAGCUCUUUUGUCAGGGAAGAAACGGUGAGCUCUAAUACAGUUUGCUAAUGACGGUACCUGAAGAAUAAGCACCGGCUAACUACGUGCCAGCAGCCGCGGUAAUACGUAGGGUGCAAGCGUUAAUCGGAAUUACUGGGCGUAAAGCGUGCGCAGGCGGUUUUGUAAGUCUGUCGUGAAAUCCCCGGGCUCAACCUGGGAAUGGCGAUGGAGACUGCAAGGCUAGAGUUUGGCAGAGGGGGGUAGAAUUCCACGUGUAGCAGUGAAAUGCGUAGAUAUGUGGAGGAACACCGAUGGCGAAGGCAGCCCCCUGGGUCAAAACUGACGCUCAUGCACGAAAGCGUGGGGAGCAAACAGGAUUAGAUACCCUGGUAGUCCACGCCCUAAACGAUGUCUACUAGUUGUCGGGUCUUAAUUGACUUGGUAACGCAGCUAACGCGUGAAGUAGACCGCCUGGGGAGUACGGUCGCAAGAUUAAAACUCAAAGGAAUUGACGG